rfam:Mangrovibacter sp. MFB070 Contig-004, whole genome shotgun sequence.
AAAUUGAAGAGUUUGAUCAUGGCUCAGAUUGAACGCUGGCGGCAGGCCUAACACAUGCAAGUCGAGCG